rnacentral:rRNA from 1 species
GAGUUUGAUCGUGGCUCAGAUUGAACGCUGGCGGCAGGCCUAACACAUGCAAGUCGAGCGGAUGACGGGAGCUUGCUCCUUGAUUCAGCGGCGGACGGGUGAGUAAUGCCUAGGAAUCUGCCUGGUAGUGGGGGACAACGUUUCGAAAGGAACGCUAAUACCGCAUACGUCCUACGGGAGAAAGCAGGGGACCUUCGGGCCUUGCUCUAUCAGAUGAGCCUAGGUCGGAUUAGCUAGUUGGUGGGGUAAUGGCUCACCAAGGCGACGAUCCGUAACUGGUCUGAGAGGAUGAUCAGUCACACUGGAACUGAGACACGGUCCAGACUCCUACGGGAGGCAGCAGUGGGGAAUAUUGGACAAUGGGCGAAAGCCUGAUCCAGCCAUGCCGCGUGUGUGAAGAAGGUCUUCGGAUUGUAAAGACACUUAAGUUGGGAGGAAGGGCAGUAAGUUAAGUACCUUAGCUGUUUUGACGUUACCGUACAGAAUAAGACACCGG